rnacentral:lncRNA from 1 species
AGCCUCCAAACCAGAUGGAGACCUGAAGCACACCAGGAAGCCAGAACUGGUUCCGAGCGCCCAGCAGGAGGAGGGGGGGGAUUUAAACAGAGUCACAUGAAUGAAGUCUUCUCGGAAUUUUCUGAGGACCACCACCUCCUUCUGCCAAUCACUCGGUGCAGCAAGCUGCCCUUCGGCCCUGGCCUGGACUCCUGUUUAUCCUCUGCCUGGUCCCCUGGGAAGCCGGGACUUAAUGAACUGCCGAGUUGCCGAGGCAGCCUUUGAUCCCAGCAGCUGAGUGGAGGAAAUCGAUACCAUUAAUGGAGAAAAUCUGGACUGUGAUGUGGAGCUUGGGAUGGGUCUUGGGGCCAUGUGACUGCCUGCCCACCUGCUGGUACUGGUGCUGAGAGGGUAUGGUAGGGACCUGGGCCUGGGUCCUGGGGA